rnacentral:rRNA from 1 species
UACGUAGGGUGCGAGCGUUGUCCGGAAUUAUUGGGCGUAAAGAGCUCGUAGGCGGUCUGUCACGUCGGAUGUGAAAACUCGGGGCUCAACCCCGAGCCUGCAUUCGAUACGGGCAGACUAGAGUUCGGUAGGGGAGACUGGAAUUCCUGGUGUAGCGGUGAAAUGCGCAGAUAUCAGGAGGAACACCGGUGGCGAAGGCGGUUCUCUGGGCCUGUACUGACGCUGAGGAGCGAAAGCGUGGGGAGCGAACAGG